GUAGGGAAUAUUGGGCAAUGGAUGCAAGUCUGACCCAGCCAUCCCGCGUGCCGGAAGAAGGCCCUCAGGGUUGUAAACGGCUUUUGACGGUGAAGAAUCGACAGGAUGCGUCCUGUUUUGACGGUAGCCGUUGAAUAAGCACCGGCUAACUCCGUGCCAGCAGCCGCGGUAAUACGGAGGGUGCGAGCGUUGUCCGGAUUUAUUGGGUUUAAAGGGUGCGUAGGCUGGAAGGUCAGUCAGCGGUGAAAAGCUGUCGCUUAACGAUAGUCUUGCCGCAGAUACUUCCUUUCUUGGAUGAGGAGGAGGCCACUGGAACGGAUGGUGUAGCGGUGAAAGGCAUAGAUAUCAUCCAGAACACCGAUUGCGAAGGCAGGUGGCUGUACCUUAAUCGACGCUGAUGCACGAAAGCAUGGGGAGCAAACAGGAUUAGAAACCCGAGUAGUCC
rnacentral:rRNA from 1 species